GACGAACGCUGGCGGCGUGCUUAACACAUGCAAGUCGAACGGAAAGGCCCUGCUUGCAGGGUACUCGAGUGGCGAACGGGUGAGUAACACGUGGGUGAUCUGCCCUGCACUUCGGGAUAAGCCUGGGAAACUGGGUCUAAUACCGGAUAGGAGCCAUUUUUAGUGUGAUGGUUGGAAAGUUUUUUCGGUGUAGGAUGAGCUCGCGGCCUAACAGCUUGUUGGUGGGGUAAUGGCCUACCAAGGCGGCGACGGGUAGCCGGCCUGAGAGGGUGGACGGCCACAUUGGGACUGAGAUACGGCCCAGACUCCUACGGGAGGCAGCAGUGGGGAAUAUUGCACAAUGGGCGCAAGCCUGAUGCAGCGACGCCGCGUGGGGGAUGACGGCCUUCGGGUUGUAAACUCCUUUCGCUAGGGACGAAGCUUUUUGUGACGGUACCUAGAGAAGAAGCACCGGCUAACUACGUG
rnacentral:rRNA from 1 species